rnacentral:tRNA from 1 species
GCCAGUGUGGUGAAAUGGUAGACACGCCUGAUUCAAAAUCAGGUAUAGAAAUAUGUGGCGGUUCGAGUCCGCCCACUGGUA